UAGGGAAUCUUCCACAAUGGACGCAAGUCUGAUGGAGCAACGCCGCGUGAGUGAAGAAGGCCUUCGGAUCGUAAAACUCUGUUGUUAGAGAAGAACACGAGUGAGAGUAACUGUUCAUUCGAUGACGGUAUCUAACCAGCAAGUCACGGCUAACUACGUGCCAG
rnacentral:rRNA from 1 species